ACUGGGUUGGCCGAGUGGUUAAGGCGUUGGACUUAAGUUCCAAUGGACAAGUGUUCCGCGUGGGUUCGAACCCCACACCCAGUA
rnacentral:tRNA from 1 species